UGGGGAAUUUUGGACAAUGGGGGCAACCGUGAUCCAGCAAUGCCGCGUGUGUGAAGAAGGCCUUCGGGUUGUAAAGCACUUUUGUCCGGAAAGAAAACGCCGUGGUUAAUACCCGUGGCGGAUGACGGUACCGGAAGAAUAAGCACCGGCUAACUACGUGCCAGCAGCCGUGGUAAUACGUAGGGUGCAAGCGUUAAUCGGAAUUACUGGGCGUAAAGCGUGCGCAGGCGGUCCGCUAAGACAGAUGUGAAAUCCCCGGGCUUAACCUGGGAACUGCAUUUGUGACUGGCGGGCUAGAGUAUGGCAGAGGGGGGUAGAAUUCCACGUGUAGCAGUGAAAUGCGUAGAGAUGUGGAGGAAUACCGAUGGCGAAGGCAGCCCCCUGGGCCAAUACUGACGCUCAUGCACGAAAGCGUGGGGGAGCAAACAGGAUUAGAUACCCUGGUAGUCCACGCCCUAAACGAUGUCAACUAGUUGUCGGGUCUUCAUUGACUUGGUAACGUAGCUAACGCGUGAAGUUGACCGCCUGGGAGUACGGUCGC
rnacentral:rRNA from 1 species